rnacentral:lncRNA from 1 species
UGUGAUAUUAAUUCCAUACUUUUAAGUUAGGGUAUAAUUAAUAAUUAUUGUUAUUUUUAUAUUAUUUUUGUAUGAUAAUAUUUAUGGUUUUUAUAGUUUGUGUUGGUGUAGUUAUUAGUUUCUGCAGCAGAAUAGUGCAUAUAUAUAUAGAGAGAGAGAGAGAGAGAGAGAGUAGAGCUACUAUACUAUCGAAAGUAUAGAAAAUGCGAUGCUUUCGACCUUUUGGUCUUUAGAUUAGUCCUUUUAAUCAUUCGUAAUUUUUGGAUUAAUCCUAUUAUCUUGUGGGGACAACUCAACCCUAACGAUACUACUCAAUUCUAGGAGGGAUCACAUUUUCUAUACUUUCGAUAGUAUAGUAGCUCUACAAUAUAUAUAUACUAGUGAAAUACCCGCGCGAUGCUGUGGAUCUAAAAUAUUUUUAUAAUAAAUUUUAUUUUUUUAAUAUUUUUAUAUAAUUUUAUAAGUCUAAUUAUUAAUUAAAUAAAAAUUAUAUAAAAAUAAUUUAAUAGUUAAAUCUUAAAAUUGAUAUAUGCCUAAAUAAAUUUAUACAUCACUUUAUUUUAUAAAGAUUUAUAUGAGAAAGAUUUGAGAUAAAUCUAUCAAAAUAAUUUUUAAAAAAUCAAUAGAUA